rnacentral:rRNA from 1 species
GACGAACGCUGGCGGCGUGCUUAACACAUGCAAGUCGAGCGAUGAAAGCCUUAUGAACUAUUCGUAGUGAUUGAGGCCGGAUUAGCGGCGGACGGGUGAGUAACGCGUGAGCAACCUGCCUUAAACAACGGGAUAGCCUCGGGAAACCGGGAUUAAUACCGUAUGAGACCCCGCCUUCACAUGAAGAAGAGGUUAAAGAUUUAUCGGUUUAAGAUGGGCUCGCGUAUGAUUAGCUAGUUGGUGAGAUAAAAGCCCACCAAGGCAACGAUUAGUAACCGGCUUGAGAGAGUGAACGGUCACAUUGGAGCUGAGACACGGUCCAAACUCCUACGGGAGGCAGCAGUGGGGAAUAUUGCACAAUGGGGGAAACCCUGAUGCAGCGACGCCGCGUGAGCGAUGAAGGAAUUCGUUUCGUAAAGCUCUGUCCAAGGGGAAGAUAAUGACAGUACCCUUGGAGGAAGCCCCGGCUAAAUACGUGCCAGCCGCCGCGGUAACAC